CAGAGGAAUACAGGACAGGCGCCUCUCUGCCUCCAGCAGGAAGCCUCAUCGUACAUGACAAAGACUGCUCUGAGCUGUAUGACAGACAGAGGCCAGACUCCGGGUUUUACCGGAUCAGACCUAGAGUGGAUCAGGAGCCGGUCCUAGUCUUCUGUGACAUGGAAGAUGGAGGGGGAUGGACUGUUAUACAGCGACGAAGACAUGGCAGGGUUGACUUCAACAGAGACUGGGUGGACUACAGAGACGGGUUUGGAGACUUUAAGCUGUGGAACGAUGAAUUCUGGCUGGGCAACGAACACAUCCAUUCUCUGGUGAAGGAAGGUAGGCUGUCAACCCUAACACAAUGAGAGGCUUGAUACAUACAGCCCCAGAACACAUUCACUCUCUGGUUUUAGGGCGGCAGAUAGCCUAACGGUUAAGGGCCAGUAAGAGCCGGUAAGGGCCAUUAAAAGCCAGUAAGGACC